GUAACACAGGUGAGGAAACAUGAAGGAAGUUCUCCUCGGGGUUUAGCCUCAGCUUGCUGGGAGGUUACUCUAUCAAUCAACUACUUCACUAGUCAGUCUCUGUACUUCUCUCAAUAAACAUUGAUUCGUGUCAGUAAAGUGUCUUGCACUGCUAAGACCUAGAGGAAAAAAAGAAGGAGAUAGAAGCUUUCUGGAGAAGACUGCUCAGUGGUCUGCUGGGAAGGCACGGAUGUACCACAUGGACCAUUAGAUUGCAUCUGACAAAGGCACAUCAGUGGGGAUGUACACUCUCUCACCCAGGGCUGAGGGAAUGUAUGAAACCCACAGAAGACGAGGAACCAAGUACAUCGGGGAUGACUCCUUGAUUUCUUAACCGGGCUCCAUCACUGGCUGCUUAUGUAACCCAGGCAAGACCUUCUUUGAAGCCAAUCACAUUCCGUGAUUAUGGAUUUUUUAAUCUAAUCAUAGUCCAUGAAUAUCCCAAUUUUCAUUUUCCCACCAAUUGCACCACGCUGCUGGAUCACAAGAAGGAAAUGCCAUUGCACACCACCUGCUGACAAAGGAGGAUCUUCUAUACAAAGAAGGGGUUUGACAGGUGUUUCAGGAAGUGGAGAGCUAUACCUGGAGCUGGCAAGUCACGGUGGAUUCCAGAUGUCUCAGCAGUAAAGAACUCACCUGCAGUGCAGAAGACUCAGGAGAUGCAGGCUCAGUCCCUGGGUUGGAAAGAUCCCCAGGAGGAGGGCAUGGCUACCCACUCCAGUAUUCCUGCCUGGAGAAUCCCAUGGACAGAGGAGCCUGGAAGGCUGCAGUCCACAGGGUUGCAAUGGAAGUGACUGAGUACACACAUAUAAGGGUCGUUUAUUAAGUACGAAAGCAGGACUUGAACCCAAGGCUCUGGAUCCAAGGUCCUCGUUCUUAACCUGGGGGCUUUGAUGCCCCUCAUUUCCCCUUCCAGCCACUUUCCUUCUGAGAUCCAGCCCCUCAACAAGUCUGUUCUCUCUCUGAUGACCUAGAGGUAUGGGUUUGGGGUGGAGGUGGGAGGGAGGCUCAAGAGAGAGGGGACAUAUGUAUACUUAUAGCUAAUUCACAUUGUUGUACAACAGAAAUAACACAACGUUGCA
ensembl:lncRNA